rnacentral:rRNA from 1 species
UACAAGCGGUCGGAGCCCUUUAGUGGGGUGACGGCGUGCCUUUUGCAUAAUGAGCCUACGAGUUAACGUUGCUGGCAAGGAUAAGUGCUUAAGGCAUGGAUCCGCAGCGAAAGCGAGUCUGAAUAGGGCGCUUUAGUCAGCAGUGUUAGACGCGAAACCGUGUGAUCUACCCAUGGGCAGGUUGAAGCUGUGGUAACACACAGUGGAGGACCGAACCGGUUGACGUUGAAAAGUCUUCGGAUGACCUGUGGGUAGGGGUGAAAGGCCAAUCAAACUCGGAAAUAGCUCGUACUCCCCGAAAUGCAUUUAGGUGCAGCGCUGGCGAUAGUUAUAUAGAGGUAGAGCUACUGAUUGGAUGCGGGGGCUUCACCGCCUACCAAUUCCUGACAAACUCCGAAUGCUAUAUAAUGUUUCCCAGCAGUGAGGGCUUGGGUGCUAAGGUCCAAGUCCGAGAGGGAAAGAACCCAGACCAUCAGCUAAGGUCCCCAAAUAUAUGCUAAGUUGAAAGAACGAGGUUUGUCUGCCCAGACAGCUAGGAUGUUGGCUUGGAAGCAGCCAUUCAUUUAAAGAGUGCGUAACAGCUCACUAGUCGAGCGGACGAGCAUGGAUAAUAAUCGGGCAUAAGCAUAUUACCGAAGCUAUGGAUUUGCAAGCAAUUGCAAGUGGUAGGGGAGCAUUCUGACAGGGCUGAAGGUGUGCCGCAAGGCAUGCUGGACUGGUCAGAAAAGAAAAUGUAGGCAUAAGUAACGAUAAUGCGGGCGAGAAACCCGCACACCGAAAAACUAAGGUUUCCACAGCUAUGCUAAUCAGCUGUGGGUUAGUCUGGUCCUAAGGCGAACCCGAAAGGGACAGUCGAUGGCCAACGGGUUAAUAUUCCCGUACUGCUAAUUACUGUGAUGGGGUGACGGAGUGAUGAAAGCGCCGCGAACUGACGGAAUAGUUCGUUGAAGUACCUAGCUAUAUUCUUUGUAGGCAAAUCCGCAGAGAAUGGUGAAAUACGAUAGUACUCGGAGUCUUCGGACAAAGAGAUAGCGCGCCUAAGGGCUUCCAAGAAAAACCUCUAAACUUCAGGUAGUUAGUACCAGUACCGCAAACCGACACAGGUAGUUGAGGAGAGAAUCCUAAGGUGCUCGAGAGAUUCAUGGCUAAGGAAUUAGGCAAAAUAGACCUGUAACUUCGGGAGAAAGGUCGCCCCGAGCAAUCGGGGCCGCAGUGAAGAGGUCCAGGCGACUGUUUAUCAAAAACACAGGGCUCUGCAAAAUCGCAAGAUGAAGUAUAGGGCCUGACACCUGCCCGGUGCUGGAAGGUUAAGAGGAGAUGUUAUCUUCGGAGAAGCAUUGAAUUGAAGCCCCAGUAAACGGCGGCCGUAACUAUAACGGUCCUAAGGUAGCGAAAUUCCUUGUCGGGUAAGUUCCGACCUGCACGAAUGGUGUAACGAUCUGGACACUGUCUCAGCCAUGAGCUCGGUGAAAUUGUAGUAACGGUGAAGAUGCCGUUUACCCGCAGUGGGACGAAAAGACCCUGUGCACCUUUACUAUAGCUUAGUAUUGACCUUGGAUAAAUGAUGUGUAGGAUAGGUUGGAGACUAUGAAGCGGCGUCGCCAGGCGUUGUGGAGUCAUUGUUGAAAUACAACCCUUUGUUUAUCUGAGGCCUAACCCCGCGUUGUGG